CAGGCUUAACACAUGCAAGUCGAGGGGCAGCAUGGUCUUAGCUUGCUAAGACUGAUGGCGACCGGCGCACGGGUGAGUAACACGUAUCCAACCUGCCGUCUACUCUUGGACAGCCUUCUGAAAGGAAGAUUAAUACAAGAUGGCAUCAUGAGUCCGCAUGUUCACAUGAUUAAAGGUAUUCCGGUAGACGAUGGGGAUGCGUUCCAUUAGAUAGUAGGCGGGGUAACGGCCCACCUAGUCUUCGAUGGAUAGGGGUUCUGAGAGGAAGGUCCCCCACAUUGGAACUGAGACACGGUCCAAACUCCUACGGGAGGCAGCAGUGAGGAAUAUUGGUCAAUGGGCGAGAGCCUGAACCAGCCAAGUAGCGUGAAGGAUGACUGCCCUAUGGGUUGUAAACUUCUUUUAUAAAGGAAUAAAGUCGGGUAUGCAUACCCGUUUGCAUGUACUUUAUGAAUAAGGAUCGGCUAACUCCGUGCCAGCAGCCGCGGUAAUACGGAGGAUCCGAGCGUUAUCCGGAUUUAUUGGGUUUAAAGGGAGCGUAGAUGGAUGUUUAAGUCAGUUGUGAAAGUUUGCGGCUCAACCGUAAAAUUGCAGUUGAUACUGGAUAUCUUGAGUGCAGUUGAGGCAGGCGGAAUUCGUGGUGUAGCGGUGAAAUGCUUAGAUAUCACGAAGAACUCCGAUUGCGAAGGCAGCCUGCUAAGCUGCAACUGACAUUGAGGCUCGAAAGUGUGGGUAUCAAACAGGAUUAGAUACCCUGGUAGUCCACACGGUAAACGAUGAAUACUCGCUGUUUGCGAUAUACGGCAAGCGGCCAAGCGAAAGCGUUAAGUAUUCCACCUGGGGAGUACGCCGGCAACGGUGAAACUCAAAGGAAUUGACGGGGGCCCGCACAAGCGGAGGAACAUGUGGUUUAAUUCGAUGAUACGCGAGGAACCUUACCCGGGCUUAAAUUGCAGAUGAAUUACGGUGAAAGCCGUAAGCCGCAAGGCAUCUGUGAAGGUGCUGCAUGGUUGUCGUCAGCUCGUGCCGUGAGGUGUCGGCUUAAGUGCCAUAACGAGCGCAACCCUUGUUGUCAGUUACUAACAGGUUCCGCUGAGGACUCUGACAAGACUGCCAUCGUAAGAUGUGAGGAAGGUGGGGAUGACGUCAAAUCAGCACGGCCCUUACGUCCGGGGCUACACACGUGUUACAAUGGGGGGUACAGAGGGCCGCUACCACGCGAGUGGAUGCCAAUCCCAAAAACCUCUCUCAGUUCGGACUGGAGUCUGCAACCCGACUCCACGAAGCUGGAUUCGCUAGUAAUCGCGCAUCAGCCACGGCGCGGUGAAUACGUUCCCGGGCCUUGUACACACCGCCCGUCAAGCCAUGGGAGCCGGGGGUACCUGAAGUGCGUAACCGCGAGGAGCGCCCUAGGGUAAAACUGGUGACUGGGGC
rnacentral:rRNA from 1 species